rnacentral:rRNA from 1 species
GACGAACGCUGGCGGCGUGCUUAACACAUGCAAGUCGAGCGGUAAGGCCCUUUCGGGGGUACACGAGCGGCGAACGGGUGAGUAACACGUGGGUGACCUGCCCUCAGCUCUGGGAUAAGCCUGGGAAACCGGGUCUAAUACUGGAUAUGACUCCAUGACGCAUGUUGUGGGGUGGAAAGCCUUGUGCGGCUGAGGAUGGGCCCGCGGCCUAUCAGCUUGUUUGUGGGGUGAGGCCUACCAAGGCGACGACGGGUAGCCGGCCUGAGAGGGCGACCGGCCACACUGGGACUGAGACACGGCCCAGACUCCUACGGGAGGCAGCAGUGGGGAAUCUUGCGCAAUGGGCGAAAGCCUGACGCAGCGACGCCGCGUGAGGGAUGAC